rnacentral:rRNA from 1 species
GGACCCGCACAAGUAGUGGAGUAUGUGGUUUAAUUCGAUGCAACGCGAAGAACCUUACCAGGGUUUGACAUCCUGCGAAUUUCUUGGAAACGAGAGAGUGCCUUCGGGAGCGCAGUGACAGGUGGUGCAUGGCUGUCGUCAGCUCGUGUCGUGAGAUGUUGGUUAAGUCCCGCAACGAGCGCAACCCACGUCUUUAGUUGCCAGCAUUUAGUUGGGCACUCUAGAGAGACCGCCGGUGAUAAACCGGAGGAAGGUGUGGAUGACGUCAAGUCAUCAUGCCCCUUACAUCCUGGGCUACACACGUACUACAAUGGCGGUUACAAUGGGAAGCAAUAGGGUGACCUG